GAUGAACGCUGGCGGCGUGCUUAACACAUGCAAGUCGAACGAAGCAUUUACGACAGAUUUCUUCGGAUUGAAGUUGUUUAUGACUGAGUGGCGGACGGGUGAGUAACGCGUGGGUAACCUGCCUUGUACUGGGGGAUAGCAGCUGGAAACGGCUGGUAAUACCGCAUAAGCGCACAAUGUUGCAUGACAUGGUGUGAAAAACUCCGGUGGUAUAAGAUGGACCCGCGUCUGAUUAGCUAGUUGGUGAGAUAACAGCCCACCAAGGCGACGAUCAGUAGCCGACCUGAGAGGGUGACCGGCCACAUUGGGACUGAGACACGGCCCAGACUCCUACGGGAGGCAGCAGUGGGGAAUAUUGCACAAUGGAGGAAACUCUGAUGCAGCGACGCCGCGUGAGUGAAGAAGUAAUUCGUUAUGUAAAGCUCUAUCAGCAGGGAAGAUAGUGACGGUACUUGAGGAGGAAGCCCCGGCUAACUACGUGCCAGCCGCCGCAGUAA
rnacentral:rRNA from 1 species